GUGAAGAAAAUUUAUCGCAGAUUCCAUUUCUUUAAAAAAAACAUUACCUUACGGGACUUUUAAGAAAGAAAACAUGAAAAAACUUGAGUUUUCGACGCGUCGAAACCGGAUGCCAGUCAUUACGUUGGACUGCUGGUGACAGCUGAUUGAACUUCGAGCAAAUUCGGGAAUCGCGGGAAUUUCAUCAAAUUUAUUUUUGAGACUGACUCGCGUGCUUUCAUUCGUCCAGUAGCUUCGUUUUUUCUCCAUAAAUUGACCAUUUUUCUCGGUGCCGUAACACCGAUAUAAACUUUCUUUCGCACAAUAAAUAUGUUCAAAAAACUAGUCAAGUUUGAGUAUAAAUUUUAUCUUUUAUGAUAUUUUUAAAGCAUUUUAUUACAUUUUUAUGAUAAAAAUAUUCUCAAUGUAGGUAUUUAUUAAUUUGAUUAAUAAUUUAGACUUGAAAUUAAUCAACACGAAGUGGUUGCAAACUUGACUAGUCAUAGAACGGCCGAACUACUUUAACUGCGAACUUUGAGCAUUGAAUGGAUCUUACGAAGCUGAAAACAUGAUCGUCACAUAUUUUUCUAUCACUUAUGAAAGUUUCUGCGAGAACUGCUUCUCAAUGCCUGCGAAUUUCAUAUACGAAGACGGGAAAACCACUGAAACUCGUAAGAGACCGUUUGAAUUUUUUUUCCACGAUCAAAGUAUCCUCGGGCUUUGAAAUUUUGACAGGACAUUUUUUAUAAUUCAUUUCUGUAUGGAAAUUUUUAAACCGAAAUUUAUUUGUUGAUUCGAUUACCAGGUGAGCUUUCUUCUGACCGCCUUGUCAACUUUUGGCCGCCGGGAAAGCAAUUGGGGAAAUAAAAUGGCUCGAAAAGCUCAAUUCCUCAUAAUUUCGGAGCUGCAGCGAAGCGCCCGCAAGCUUUUCAUUUGAGCUGGGCGUUGACUCGCUACCGCAUCUCUUGACAUCGUGGCUCAGUGACGUUUGGAUAUUCCAUUGCUCACUGUUAAAAAAAUCAUUGCUUCGUCCAUGGGAAUACGGAAUUCACCAAUCUCCAAUGAUUGGGCUCCACCGCCGAGGCGUGGCUAAGCGGAAAACGAGUGCAGUGAUCAGCGCCGUUGGCACUAAAAUUCCAGUUGAAAAUAAAACAACAAAUAUUUCAUCGCGAUGAGUGCAGAAAAUAGUACGUGGCCACAUUUCGCGGUGCGAUGUAGAGAAAAUAUUUGUUCGAGGUACCCGCAAAAAGUCGGCUGUUCCAAUAGCAAUUGAUGUUGGGCAACCCCGUUGCCCAGCCGCACCGUUUCAGUGUUUUCAUGUGAGCGAACCGGAUCCGGACACCUUCUCCUGGAGGCGAGCGCCAUUCGCGUUGUCCCUCUCCAGCCCGCGAGGAUUCCACGUGCUUCUCAGAACAAAGGGAGCUCGAGGGAGACGAAGAGAGCGAGAUAAUGUUAAUGGCGUUGAUGUCGCAGUACGAAACAUUCGAGUCGCGCCGACCGGGGGGUUCAACUUGGCGCGAACAUCGCGAGGAGAUCGGUUCACGCUUUUCGAACAUUUAUCUCCAACAUUCCGACUCGAAAUCAGAAGACACACGAGAUUUUAAACGACUAGGAAGUCAAGAAAGUCGGGAUACUCCUCGACUGGAGUUCACGCUGAUGAAAAAUGCAGUUUAGACUUCUGAGAAAGUCAAGCACACGUAAACGUUUUCAAAUCGAUGACACUCUGAUGAAAAUGCUUGCAGUCGACACUAAAAAUACCGCAAACGAUUAGCCACUUUGCCACAAACCGUCCAUCAGACUGGAGCAGAAAAUGCGAGGAUCGAAGCCCGCCAAAAUAUCUAAAGAAAGACUUGAGGAAGCCUCCGGGGAACUGCUUUUAUUGGCCCAUGAAAAAGAUCGAGAGUUUAUUACGAAAGUAAUGUCUCGAAAUAUCGAUCGGCGUCAACCUUCUUCGGGUGGGAUAUGUUCCAAAAUAGCAUCCGGAUCGCACUUGCAGAUGAAAUUCAACGUGAUUUUCCAAAGGGGAUUGAGAAAAAAUGUUGUCGUGUGGCAACUUGCCGAAACGUCGGCAGUGUAGUUACGUGACGUUUCGUAAUUAUUCAAUUCGUGGAGUUUUCAACAGCUCCCGAGCAUUCUCAUGCCUUCGUCCGUUAUUUUCUGCAUUGAGAUAAUAUUCCUUGACGAUUGUGGCGCCACUAGCGCGAGGAAGAUGCUCGGGAAUGUCCGAGGUGAAUUCAUCCAACCGAAAUGAAUGACGUUUGGCUCAUUUUCGCAUUCCCUCCUGCCGGGGGCUGAAACACUUUCAUUUCGAUCGAUCAGUGUUGGGAAUUUCUCGUUUUCGAUACUCGGAGGGAAAUGUCCCGAGGUAGAACGGUCAGGAAACUCCCAUUCAAGAGUAAACCGACUUUCAGAUUUGUCAAUGUACCGUAAUUGUAAAAAACUAGAUGAUAUUACUCGAAAUUCAAAAUAAUUUAGGGAAAAACAUGAAUUUUUGAGAGACUCUGCAUCUUUCAACAUUUUUUUUUAGCAUCGUUCAAAUGUAAUUACGAACUUUUCACUUGGAACAAUUACGUAACUCCGAAAGUUUGUGGUAAAACGUUAUCAUUUUUGGGCACCCGUGCAACGCCGACCCAUCGUUCCACCGCUUUCAUAUUAAUUUUGCCAACAUUUCUUUGACGUUGAAAGGAAUGUGACAAAAUGAAGGGUUUGCCUGACAGGACGUGGGUGAAAAAUAGUUAUUUCAAAAACAAAUAUCACGACUUUUUUUGAUAUCCUGGAACGUUUGUCCUGACCGGAAGCCAAUGCGCGUUAAUA